CAUUAUUGAUUUCCGAGUAGAGUAAGUCUAAGGGGGGAGGGGGGGAUCUUGGAACUGUAGCUGGCCAUAUAUACAUAUGACAUGUGCACGUUCUGUGAUUUUUCAUUGACCUUUUUCUUACUCUCACUCUUACUUUCACACCUGUGCACCUAUUGUAGGUUGUGCUCGCAAGGGCCUGAUCUAUGUGGUUUUUCAUCACACAUUUAUUUGUAUGGUCUAUGAAAAUGGGGAAUAUAAUAAAUCUAUACAACUUUCAGCAACGGAUCUCUUGGCUCUCGCAUCGAUGAAGAACGCAGCGAAUUGCGAUAAGUAAUGUGAAUUGCAGAUUUUCAGUGAAUCAUCGAAUCUUUGAACGCACCUUGCGCUCCUUGGUAUUCCGAGGAGCAUGCCUGUUUGAGUGUCAUUUGAAUUCUCAACCUUGUCUUGAUUUAUUUUUCAAGGCAAGGAUUGGAUUGUGGAGGGUGCUGGCCUCCAAUUUAUAUAAGGGGGCAGGUCAGCUCUUCUGAAAUGGAUUAGCAAAAAGUGGUUAACAAAAAUGGCCGUCAUAACCUUCUGACGUGAUAAUGAUCGUCGUUAGGGAGAUGGGGUCGUAGUUGACUUGAAUUUGCUUGAAAAUUUAGAUCUGUAUUCCUUGAAAAAGUGUGCUUAGCUACUAGAGUUAGGAUCGAACGCGGCACUAAAAGGGGAGGAGUAUGUGUGAUCUUGACAACCUUGACCUCAAAUCAGGCAGGAUUACCCGCUGAACUUAAGCAUAUCAAUAAGCGGAGGAAAAGAAACUAACAAGGAUUCCCCUAGUAACUGCGAGUGAAGCGGGAAGAGCUCAAAUUUUGAAUCUGGCGGUGUUGGGCCGUCCGAGUUGUAAUCUAGAGAAGUGUUUUCCGCGCUGGACCGUGUAUAAGUCUCCUGGAAGGGAGCGUCAUAGAGGGUGAGAGUCCCGUCUUUGACACGGGCGAACCAGUGCUAUGUGAUGCGCUCUCAACGAGUCGAGUUGUUUGGGAAUGCAGCUCAAAAUGGGUGGUAAAUUCCAUNUAAAGCUAAAUAUAGGCGAGAGACCGAUAGCGAACAAGUACCGUGAGGGAAAGAUGAAAAGAACUUUGGAAAGAGAGUUAAACAGUAUGUGAAAUUGCUGA
rnacentral:rRNA from 1 species